CGCGCGCCGACAACAACACUGCGGCCUCGUCCUUCAGUGGGCCCGUCCGUAACAUUCUGGGUCGUCGUUUCGACUGGAAUUUUUUUUUUAAACUCGUUUUUUUCCUUUUAACUUUUUUCCCAGUCGUCAAUCGUCGGAGCUGGAAUUCUACACAUUUCCGUCGGUCCGUCGCGCUUCGCGUUCCCCGGACAGACAGGCGUGCGUGACCAGCCCAACGGCGGCAGCAGAUCUCGUCUCGGGGGCCGGACAAAUACACACGGUAGGACCUGCAGCUGUACUACGUCGUCGUCAACGUCUUACCGUCACGUUCUAGUAUUCAUAACAAGCCUCCUGAAUAUUCAUCAAAUAGGAAGACAGAAAACGAUUGAAAAAAAAAAAUGAAUUCCAAUACACUUUAUUAAACGCUGUUCGCUGCAUUCAGCGACCAACAGAAUUGUAAUACCCAGAGGAAAC